UUCUUGACAAUUCAUUAGACAGUAAUUAGUUCCUGACAAAUUGUUUAUCAUCACAUAGCUGGAGUAGUUUUCCAGGAGUAGUACAGCGAUUAGUUUCUAUCGUCUGACUUAAAUUUGUUUUACUGUGAUGGCAAGAAUGCACAUUAUAAGGUUGGCUCGAGUUGUAAUCUAGACAAAAAUUCUCUAAGACAGACAGUUAUUGAUACAUAUGCUAUAUGAACUUGCAAGAGACACAAUUCAAGGCUGUUCUAAAAAAUAUUUACAGAGUAUUGCUGGAAAGAAUACCAUAAAGUUGGAAGAUCUAACGAGAAGGCUAGCAUAGUUAAUAUUUUGAUACUGUUUUCAAGUGCAAUAUUUAAGAGAAGCAAAAUAUGAAGAAUUAUUAGCAGGAAACUGAAAAAUUCAAGAAAGAACAUGUUCACUGAAUGAUAAAACCUCUGUGUUUCAAUAUCAUCUAUGUUGUCGAUUACCACAACAUGUGUUAUAUUUAAGAUACGGUAGCUGUUGUAGAGCAUAGUAUCGAUUUUAGU